GUUGGCAUAUAGAAGGGUUGAUCAUAGACUUCUCACAUUAACUGAUCUGCUGAGACCAGAGCCCCGAGCAGGAAGAUGCCCAGCCUCGUCCUGCAUAAGUCGGCAGGCAGCACCCAGCUCCUCUGCUGUGUGGCCCUCUAUCUCCUGGGGGCAGGUGCGGUGGAUGCUGGAGUCACCCAGUCCCCAGGAUACCUAAUCAAAGGCAGGCUGGGCAAGGCCACUCUGAAAUGCUCUCCCAUCUCCGGACACAACAGUGUGCUGUGGUACCAGCAGGCUCGGGGGCAGGGCCCCCAGUUGCUAGUGGAGUAUUAUGAAAGGAUGCAGAGAGCCAAAGGAAACUUCACUGACCGCUUCUCAGGUCAGCAGCUCAGUGACUACAGCUCUGAACUGGACCUGAGGGACUUGGAGCCUGGGGACUCAGCCUCGUAUCUCUGCGCCAGCAGCUGGAGCACAGCCCUGCAGAGUGACUGGCUUUCUGUAUGCAAACCUUCCUGA